CAACGGAUCGGCCGUAGGGUGGAAAACCGGAGCGGAAAAGGGGAGCUUGGUCCCUGAAGUCAGCGGCGGAGGGGUGAGUAACACGUGGGCAACCUGCCUGUAAGACUGGGAUAACUCCGGGAAACCGGGGCUAAUACCGGAUAACUCUUUUCCUCACAUGAGGAAAAGCUGAAAGAUGGUUUCGGCUAUCACUUACAGAUGGGCCCGCGGCGCAUUAGCUAGUUGGUGAGGUAACGGCUCACCAAGGCCACGAUGCGUAGCCGACCUGAGAGGGUGAUCGGCCACACUGGGACUGAGACACGGCCCAAACUCCUACGGGAGGCAGCAGUAGGGAAUCUUCCGCAAUGGACGAAAGUCUGACGGAGCAACGCCGCGUGAGUGAUGAAGGUUUUCGGAUCGUAAAACUCUGUUGUCAGGGAAGAACAAGUACCGGAGUAACUGCCGGUACCUUGACGGUACCUGACCAGAAAGCCACGGCUAACUACGUGCCAGCAGCCGCGGUAAUACGUAGGUGGCAAGCGUUGUCCGGAAUUAUUGGGCGUAAAGCGCGCGCAGGCGGUUCCUUAAGUCUGAUGUGAAAGCCCCCGGCUCAACCGGGGAGGGUCAUUGGAAACUGGGGAACUUGAGUGCAGAAGAGAAGAGUGGAAUUCCACGUGUAGCGGUGAAAUGCGUAGA
rnacentral:rRNA from 2 species